rnacentral:rRNA from 1 species
GAUGAACGCUGGCGGCGUGCUUAAUACAUGCAAGUCGAACGGAGACUGUAGCAAUACUGUCUUAGGUGGCGAACGGGUGAGUAACGCGUUGGUGACCUGCCCCGAAGAGGGGGAUAACAGUCCGAAAGGAUUGCUAAUACCCCAUGUGGUCGUUUGGAUUAGAUGCCUUACGACUAAACGGAUUUAUUCGCUUCGGGAGGGGCCUGCGUCCCCAUCAGCUAGUUGGUAGGGUAAUAGCCUACCAAGGCGAUGACGGGUAGGGGACCUGAGAGGGUGGCCCCCCACAAUGGAACUGAAACACGGUCCAUACACCUACGGGUGGCAGCAGUAGGGAAUAUUGGUAAUCUGGGAAACCGGGAACCAGCAACGCCGCGUGCGCGAUGAAGGCCUUCGGGUUGUAAAGCGCUUUUUAAAGGGAUGAGGAAGGACAGUACCUUUAGAAUAAGCCUCGGCUAACUACGUG